rnacentral:rRNA from 1 species
AUGGGCAGGUUGCCGGACUGGAAGGGGAAGAAUCUGGCGCGUCCGGGCAUGGUCUCCCUUGCAAAGUCCGUGUUGUGCGCCAUCGCAAAUCAUCACCUCCCUGUGCUCCCGCUCCCCACUUGGACAAUCCAGAAGCUCAGUAAGAUCACUUGUAACUUCAUCUGGUGUGGGGAAGACUCAGAAAACGCGUCUGGUGGACACUCUCUGGUCAACUGGAAGACUGUUUGCCGGCCUAAGCCCAUGGGGGGCCUGGGAAUCACAGACCUCGAGAGAUUUGGUCGGGCGCUCCGACUUCGCUGGCCUUGGCUUAUGUGGACUGAUCUUGACCGCCAAUGGGUGGGCUCUGCGGUGCCCUGUGAUGAGACGGAUAUGGCGCUCUUCAGGGCUUCUACCAGCAUCUCAUUGGGCAAUGGGAGAAAAUCCUUAUUCUGGCACGACGACUGGACA